CACCUCUUCCCAUUCCGAACAGAGAAGUUAAGCUCACCAGCGCAGAUGGUACUGGGUCAAAAGCCCGGGAGAGUAUGUCGUCGCCGAUC
rnacentral:rRNA from 1 species